GACGAACGCUGGCGGCGUGCUUAACACAUGCAAGUCGAACAGUGGCGAACGGGUGAGUAACACGUGAGUAACCUGCCCUCCACUUUGGGAUAACUCCGAGAAAUCGGGGCUAAUACUGAAUAGUGGGGGAUGGGCUCGGGGCCUAUCGGUUUGUUGGUGAGUUAGUGGUCACCAAGGCGUGACGGUUAGCCGGCCUGGGAGGGCGACCGGCGACAAUGCGACUGCGACACGGACCAGAGUCCAACGGGAGGCAACGGUGGGGAGUAUUGCACAACGGGCGAAAGUGUGUUGCAGCGGCGCCGGGUGGGGGAUGACGGCCUUCGGGUGGUAAACCUCUUUAAGCAAGGAAGCGGUACUUGCAGAAGAAGCGCCGGCUAACUACGUGCCAGCAGCCGCGGUAAUAC
rnacentral:rRNA from 1 species